GGAAACUAAGACGUUGAGAGGUUCAACUACUCACCCCAAUCACAAAACUCUGAACUGGCCAAAGUGGAAGACCCGUCCCAACUCCAAAGUCCACACGGGUGGCUUGCUCAUCUCUAUAUCCCCAGAACUCAGCCAAGUGUCAGGAGGCAAGCUUUUAUGUGGUCCAGAAGAAGGCCCGGCCAGAACAUUCCAGCUUACACAGAGGAAAUCAAAGGAAAUGUUUAUAAUCACAGGACAAAGUCUGAACCCAGAAGUAGAGCAGAACUCUGGAGGAUGAGAAUCCAUCAUCUCUGAAGAAUCAUAUCCCACCGCCGCCCAUCCUCGCAUCUCAUCCUAAUUUGAUUCGUGUGUACGUGUUUUCUGCAUUUCUAUCUCUUGCCAGCGUCUGUUCCUGGCAGAAGUUUCUGAUUUUUGAGUCAAUAAAAACCAGAGUCCAAAAGUA